CCGCACCGCUAAGUGACUGGACUUCCUGCGUGGUGGUCUUCCAGUCUCAUUCCGGUGCCAGAUGAACCUCAGUUUGCAGAAGGGUUGAGCUAGACCACUGGCCCCCCCCUUUCGAAGGCCGAGAACAAGC